ACCUGGCUGGCUCAGUCAGUAGAGCAUGCAAUUCCUGAUUUCAGGGUUGUGAGUUCAAGCCCCAUGUUGGGUG
rnacentral:tRNA from 1 species